AGCGAACGCUGGCGGCAGGCUUAACACAUGCAAGUCGAACGCCCCGCAAGGGGAGUGGCAGACGGGUGAGGAACACGUGGGAACGUACCCUUCGGUUCGGAAUAACUCAGGGAAACUUGUGCUAAUACCGGAUACGUCCGAAAGGAGAAAGAUUUAUCGCCGAAGGAUCGGCCCGCGUCUGAUUAGCUUGUUGGUGAGGUAACGGCUCACCAAGGCGACGAUCAGUAGCUGGUCUGAGAGGAUGAUCAGCCACACUGGGACUGAGACACGGCCCAGACUCCUACGGGAGGCAGCAGUGGGGAAUAUUGGACAAUGGGGGCAACCCUGAUCCAGCCAUGCCGCGUGAGUGAUGAAGGCCUUAGGGUUGUAAAGCUCUUUUGUCCGGGAAGAUAAUGACGGUACCGGAAGAAUAAGCCCCGGCUAACUUCGUGCCAGCCGCCGCAGUAA
rnacentral:rRNA from 1 species